rnacentral:miRNA from 1 species
AGGCUAAGUCAAAGAUAUAUCUACUUGUCAAACAUGCCUCAUAGCACUUUAAAACCACCUUUUUUUGACAAGUAGAUAUAUCUUUGACUUAGCCU